rnacentral:lncRNA from 1 species
CAUGAGCCGCCCGCCUACGAGCAGAGCCUCAGCAACCCACAUCCCCACGGCAACCCCCACCCGCACCCACGCUCCCCCAGGACUGCCCGGCACGGGGGUGGCGUGGGCCCACCACCUCCACUUGCUCCCCCUCACCCCCGACGAGUCCCAAACGGUUACCGCUCGUCUUCGCCCUCCCCGCACCGGCGAGGGCCCCCACAUCAACACCCCCAUCCGGGAGGACCACCCCACAGGUCCCCCCCUCAUCACCGGGUCCCCCAUGGAGGCCCCAGAGGCCCCCGGAAGGGCCUGCACGAACCCUACAGCGAGACGGACGAGGACGACUGGUGCUAGCACAGCGAAGGAACAGAAGAACGAGGGAGGAGAGGAAGAGAGGAAAAGGAGGGAGGAGAGGAGUCUCUCCGUCUCCCCGUCCUCUGUUCUUCGUUAUGCAGACUUGAAUGAAGGGUAAAGGGAUGCAGAAGGGGUGAGGAAAGGAAAGGAAAGGAGGAGAGGAGAAUUUGGGAGAAGUCUCUCCAUCUCUCUACCUCUACACCUGAGACUCAGGCUUGGAUGGAAUGAUGAGGGAUGGAGGGAUGGUUAGAGGAGAGGAGGCACAGUGUGUGGGUGUGUGAGACUCUAAACUCAGAGCAGACAUGACAAAGAGAGACCGCUGUAAGGCAGAACAACGCACCUCUCCUCUUCUCCUCUGUCUCAACUACCAUACCGAGAGUUCUCAGCGUGCCCAGGGGGGAGUGGACCGAGGGAUGGUGGAGAGGUGCUGACGGAGGUGUGCAGAGGUGCUGACGGAGGUGUGGAGAGGGAAGAAAGAACAAAAGAAUGAAAGGAAGGGAGGAGCAUGUAUACUAAGUUACAAGUGGCCAAUGAACGGUAAAUAAAGCCCCUCUCCCAGACUGUUUAGGAGAUAGGUGGGUUAGUUAAGUUAAGCUAAACCUGGGUGCUCUUGCUGUUCUGUCAUUCUAUUCUACUAGCCUGAUAAGUGUUAGGAGCUAACAGCUAAACGCUAGCUAGCUAACACUGCUCUUGGUCUAACCUAGACGGACAUGUUUAAAAAAGAAAAACAAUGAAAACCCAUGCCAGGACCCCCUAUCCUUAUACACGCCAAGCUAUGCCUCCAGAAAAAUCUAACUUGAAGACUAAAGAACAGAAAACAAACUUUUAAAAAAAAAGAGGAGAAAAAAAGGGAGAACAACCACUUUAACUUAAACUUUCCUUAAAGGGACUAGAACCAGGAAGCUCCGCCUCUACUGCAAAAACCAGCCAAUGACAGAGCUGGCUGAUAUUUGAUGAGUUUUAUCAUCUCCUGUUUACUGUUACAGACUCACGAAAUGCUGACGACGGACCUGGUGUGACCUCACUUCCUGUGGGUGGGGCCUAGUGUGACAUCACGUCCUUUUCCGGUGGGUGGGGCCACAGGGGAGGGGCUGGGGGCAGAGUUAUGGACCCUUAGGGGGCGUAGUUUGUUUGCCCCCACUAUCUUCUCUCCCCCCUUCCUCUCUCCUCCAUCCUGCCGAAAAAGAAAGGACAGGAAAGGAAAAUGAUGGGAGGAGGAGCGGAAAGAAAGAAGGGGAGGGAAAAGACGAUUUCUUCAGUAUUUCUUCUAUCGAUUACUUCUUCUUCUUCUAGUUCUUCUUCUUGGACAUUGCAGCUUGGUUCUUCUGUUGCAUUCGCUCAAGCCUCUGUUAAUCCGUUAUGAUGCAUGAAGGAAUUUAACAACAAAAAAAUACCUAGAGAGAAAAUCUACUGUUGGGGAUAUGGGGGCAUAUUGGGUUUAUAGAACAUUUACAUUUUAGAUUUUGAUUGAAGAAGUUCUCUUUUUCUGACUCUCUCUCUCUCUCUCUCUGACUCUGUCUAUCAUCAUGCGUUUGUUUAUUGAGUAAAUGUUUGUUCUAUAUCACCCUAAGGAUCCGAUGGACAACCUUUUUUAAGUUUGAUUUCCACCCAAUAGGGUUUUAAAGCUACCAUUUUCUUAUCUUGAAAGUACUCCUAUGUUCCUGAGAUACUCCUAAAUUUUACUAAGAUACUCCUGUUGUACUAAGAUAUUCCUGAGUUGUUUUGAGGAAUAAGUAAGAAUUGAGAGAGCUAUGAGGAGAGAAAACUUCAACCUCUUUAAAUAAUUGAUUUGUAUUGUUAAUAAUGAUGAUAGUCCUAUAAAUACUGAUAUCAAUGUCAAUGCUAAACGAUGAAUGAUGAUAGUUGUUUGCCGUAGAUCUGUUGUCAUGUUUUUUGGAGUUUCAAUCUGCUGUGUCAUCUAGUUUUCAUCGUUUAUUUUCCUUGGGUUCUGUUCAAACUGUUCCCAAACUGUUCCCAAACUGCUCCCAAACUGUUCCAAAACGCCUUUAACCGGGUCCGAUACAUGCAACACGCAUAAACUUUUCAGGGAGGGGUUAGAUGUCGGAUUGUGAUUGUGAGCAACACAGAUAGAACUGUGUAGCGUUGUGUAACGCAGCUCUUUACCUCUGAUAGGUCCCCCCUCAGUGGUAGACAGAGAACCGGGGCCACGUUCAGUAGCCAAAUGUUGUCAAACGUUGCAGAUAGAAAUGUCAUUAACAGAGCCGACAUGGUUCUUCAUUCUACGUGUAAGAGACGCAUGUUUGUUCUAAAUAGCAUUUUUCUAUCCGAGCGUUCCAAAAACAUUGUGUCCUACUGAGUGCGCCCCAGUCAUAGCCAAAUCAACCGGCCAACCAACCAACCGUCAGACCUCCACACAGUAUCUGAUUUACAGCUGGCUGUGAACCAUAGAGUUAGAAAGAGGACUUAUAUCGGGUUAUAUCCACCUAGAGCCCUCUUUCUACCUCUAUGUUGUGAACGAGCUCCACCUCACAUCCCCAAGAGCUCUCCACUAGCUGUCUAGUCUCUCUGUCUUUCUGAUUCUCCAUCACAUGUUUAGCAUUGAGCUGCUUGCUUUACCAAGCCAGAGGAGAACAUUCUAGAAACAUUUUAGAAUCUCUAAGACGUUCUAGAAACUCUAGUCUAGACUCUAGAAACUCUAGUACAUUCUAGAGCAUUCUUUAGAGAGGUUAGCUAACAUGAUUGUAUCCAGAUGUUUUGGAUUAAAACAUAUUUAUUUUGCUAUGAUUACAAUUAUGUAGAUUGUAACAGAUAUUCCCUAUCAUAACUCGUAAAAUGAUAGAUACAAUAUAGAUAUAUAGAGAUAUAAAAGUUUAUAUAUUAUAGAGAGAAAAACGUACUUUUAUUUACUUCAAACACUCUAGCUACGAAGCUAGAGCUCAGAAACUCUCCAUUGAAAUCAGCUACACAGAUUCAAAUUGCACUUUGUCACUGUAGCUCCACACAAUAUCCCACUACAAACUCUAUGCAGAUCUAUCCAACAUUCAUUUCUCCUUUACCAUUAUAGUGCAGAGUAGUUGUGCCAUUAUAAAUAAAUGACAAUACGUAAGUGAGCGCAUAGAAAUGGAAUGUGUAGAACAGGCCUCCCAAUUCAAGUCAAUGAUGGCAUAUCUAUAGAUUAUAUUUCUAUGGGUCAGAUGGUGUAGUGUCAGAUAGUGUAUAUACAACAUUUUAAUAUAGAUGGAUAGAAGUAUAUAGAUAGAGGGUAUGCCCACAUCGUUUUGCUUUUGCACAAUCACUCACAAAAUCCUUAUCCUUCAUAGCACAUCUUUCCUUUAUUUUUUACCCUCCUGCAGUGUUUUGUCCUCUCCUGCUCCCUCUAUCGUUCUCCCAAGCUGUCCAAUCCCAUAUACCACCCCUGCCCUCCGUAUAGGUAGGUCCAGAGAGAGGGGGGGGCCUACAUAUACCACCCCUGCCCUCCAUAUAGGUAGGUCCAGAGAGAGAGAGGGGGGGCCUACAUAUACCACCCCUGCCCUCCGUAUAGGUAGGUCCAGAGAGAGAGAGGGGGGGCCUACAUAUACCACCCCUGCCCUCCGUAUAGGUAGGUCCAGAGAGAGAGGGGGGGGGCCUACAUAUACCACCCCUGCCCUCCGUAUAGGUAGGUCCAGAGAGAGGGGGGGGGACCUACAUCAGAGUGGUGUACCUACAUCAGAGAGGUGUUUAUCUACCCAGAAGCCCCAGUGCCUCAGUGCCUUCUGUUUUCAGAGUCACAUCUACCCUUCCCAGCUUGCCCCUCACCAUCCCCCUCGCCCCCUCCUGUGGUUGAUCAACAUCAAACACACUACGCCUUAAAGAGUCCUAGUCGCUGUCUGUGAGCAGGUAGCAGUUGGGAGCAAGGCAGUAGGGACUGGGCUUUGCUUAGUUGGUUGGAACAGUGAGUAAAGCGCAGGAAGAGAGGGGAAUGGAAACUACUUUUGGGGAUCUCCUUCGCCCAGUUUCACACAGUGUAGUGAGAUACUGUAAUUGCAGGGGCGAAAAGGCAAUGAUUUGUUUACUUCUCAGGUGUCUCUAGAGAUAGAUAGCUAGAUAGAUAGAAUCUACACUAUAUAAUAGGCACGCUAAGGCAGUUAGUCAGUUAUAUCAUAUAAUAUGAUAUAAAUUUAUAAAAUCACAUGAAAAAAUAUAGGCCUAGGGUUUGAGUUUCUGUAUGGUUUGUUAUCUGGCAUGGGCAUUUGUAAUGUCUUCCCUUCUUCCCUUAACCUCCAUUACAGACCACCUACCAUUCAUCAUGAAUCUGCCGCUGAAAACUACUUGCACUUGACACUGUGGGUGUCCACUUAUCAGGCAGGAAACUGAUUACUCCAUUUCGGCUCAACAACACCAACAUGCUUGUCCAGAAUUGUAACUGCGGAUCCAAAAUGGCCGACAUCGACACACAACACUGCCGUUGAAUUAAAGCAUGUUGUGUGGAUUGUGAGCUCCAACCAUUAUAAAAUGAAUGACCAUUUUAAGGGGUUUAUUUUGUUUAUAAAAAAAAAAAUAAUCCAGAAGAUUUGUGAAAAGGAGGAUUUACGAAGUUUCUAGUUUACUCUCAAUCAUUCAUCCAUCCUACGUUCCUAUCCAUUUAUUUGUUGUCUUUCCUUUCUAUUUCUGAUGUGACUUCUUGAUCGACUCAUCCGUUUGUCUCUCGUUCUCUCUAUCAUUUUUUCCUCCUCUUUGAGACAACAGACGUCCUCCGAAAGCCAAUCCAACCCCAUUCACUCAAUCAAUCAACUGUUGUGCGUUUGUGAAAUGAUGUAAAUGAUUGGUGUGUGAGGCUAGUGUGUGUUGAAACAGAAAUAAGGGCUCUCCUAACAAACUAAAGGGGUUUCAUGUGCAGGUACAGUAGUGCUGACAAAAGUCAUCUGUAUGUAUCUCAAACCAUACAGUGGUGUGGUCUCCCCUUGUACAGCACUAGGUGUGUGCAUGCGUGUGUGUUGGGGUCAAAGGGUUAGAGGUCAAAGGUCAGGGUGAGAGCGGGGGGGGGGCACGUUCCGCUGAGGUGAAACGUUCUGGAAAAGAACAGAUAGAAAUGUAAUGAAUAGAGCUGACACGACACCCUUUUCUGUCAGUCUGACAAGCAUAUCCGUUCUACUUGAUGCAUUUCUAUCUGAAUGUUUUCUGUAACAUUUGCACCCUCCUGAACAGACCCCGGUUAGAAGUAGUGUCACAAGUCACAUUAUUUCACAAAUGGCACUGGAACGUUCUUGGAUCAUUUUCUAGCUCCGCCUUCUUCCGCUUGCCAAUACAGCCUUCAUUAUGAUGUCAUCAGCUGCCAUUUUCUCAUUGACCUCCACCUGCAUCCCCCAGCUCAUUUUGGAGUGGAGGGUCACCAACCUCAUCAGGGAUGGGUUUACUGGCAUGACAGUGAGACAUUCCCCUGUGUGUUGUGUUCGUGUGUGUUUGCUACGUUUGUGUGUGUGUGUGUGUGUGUGUGUGUGUGUGUGUGUGUGUGUGUGUGUGUGUGUGUGUGUGUGUGUGUGUGUGUGUGUGUGUGUGUGUGUGUGUGUGUGUGUGUGUGAGAGUGAGAGAGUGUGUGCGUGCGUGCAUGUGUGAGAGCGUGCGUGCGUGUGAGUGAGUGCGUGCGUGCGUGCGUGAGUGCGUGUGUUCACACCUCAUCUACAGUAAGUUAUCUUCAGUGCCUUACACUGUACAGUAGGAACCAAAUCUCCUUUGUAGAUAGACAACACACACAGCACUGAAUAACGCUUUCAUAAUGUUUCCAUAACGUUUUCUCUCCAACUGUACUCUUCUCUCCAUCCAGUAUUGCCUCACCUCACCUACCAUCCUAUUCCUUCUCUCUCUGUGAUCGACAAGUAAGGUCUGGAGGGAGGGCAUGGGUGAAUGAAUAGGUGAUCGUUGUGUUGGAUCUGUCAUCCUUCUCUUUCUCUCUCUGUACAUUUGCUCUGUAAACUCUUCUUGUGUACAUCUUCCAUAAACUUUCUGAAACAAUCAGACCAUGUCCAUCUAUUUUCUCUUUUAUCGCCGCUCAAUUUAUUUUUCAACAUUUACAUUUCAAUCAUUUAGUAGAUGCUCUAAUCCAGAGCGACAUAGUGUCUACAACAUCACUCCCACUCUUCAAUUGUGCUUGAAGUCUCACUCAAGUAAUGUCCAUGUACAUGUUAUACCAUACAUGAACACAAGGUGGUGCACUCGUGCUUUUAACAGAGUGUACAUUGGUCGACAUAACGUAACAUUCAAAGGCCUAUGUGUAUGUUGUCAUUACAUUGCUUUCGCAGGUGAACGGGUGAGUAUCGUGUGUGUAUGUGCGCAUGUGCAUGUUUGGAGGCUUCAGUGAGUGUGUGUGUGUGUGCGUGUGCGUGCGUGUGUGUGUGUGUGUGUGUGCGUGUGCGUGCGUGUGUGUGUGUGCGUGCGUGUGUGUGUGUGUGUGUGUGUGUGUGUGUGUGUAUCUUUACGUGACAACACACACACAGCGACAACACCAAGAUUCUUGACGACCGUGGGUUGAUUCCCUAGAUAUGUGUGGAGCGUCUUCUACUGUCACAAUGGAAACCCUCAAGGCCCGUCACUCUUCAUUCCAUAAAGUCUCCCAACCAUCACAUUAUAAUAUCACAAUACCAUCAAUUUGUCCCAUAGACACUGAUAUGAGAUCCGUUUUCAGUGUUAACCUCCUUAUGGUGAAGCAUAGGAGUGAGGUGGGGUGAAUCUACAGUAGAAACCAUACCAUAUCAGUCCAGUGCCACAGUAGAGAACCAUACAGGACAGGAGUCAUUUUAGGAAGCAAGAAGAGAAAAUACACUACAUACACUACAUGGCAAUUUAAGGUAAAAAGAGAAGUAUUUAAAUAACAGAUUUGCAUGUGCAAUGUGCAUGCCACUACGUGGGGUUAAAUAAGUCAACUUCAGGAAUAAAAUUAAAAAAUAAUAUAAAGAGAAAAAAUAAAGUAUAUAUAUAUAUGUAUAAAUAUAUAUAGAUAGAUGUUUUUAAGAGCAAUGUGUUCCUUUUUCUUCUAUUUUUAAAAACAAAAAACUGGAGAAAAAAACUUGGACAAAAAAAAAUAGAUAGAAAAUCUUUAAAAAGAAGCAGAACUUUGGUGAUGUAAUCAAAGAAUGUUUUUGUUUGCUACUUGCCAGUUAUUUCACUAAAGAGGGGGAACUGCGACGGCGGGGCGGUAGACGAUUUAACACUUUAAACAAAAUGUUGAAACAUUACAUUACAACAACAAAAAUGAAGAAAAGAUAAAUAAAAGAUAAACGUGGAAUGAAGGAAUACAUUUUUCCUUAAAGAAAAACAAAAAUCCCUUGAUUGAGAGUCUUGAGAGCUGCCUCAUGAUUCUAUUUCUGAUUUUACCCGUUUAUUCUGGCUAUGAAAUCUCUUUCUCUCUCUAUCUCUCUGCUAUUUCUACCAGUGCAUUUUGUUACUCCGAACAGAACUCUUCCUAAG